AUUUUGAGUACAUAAUGUGCACUGCAAUUCGUGUUGAACUGACCGACCCCCGCACACAGGGAAGGUGAAGCGCAGACAGAGAGAGGACCGACCCCGCACACGGGGAAGGUGAAGCGCAGACAGAGAGAGGACCGACCCCGCACACGGGGAAGGUGAAGCGCAGACAGAGAGAGGACCGACCCCGCACACGGGGAAGGUGAAGCGCAGACAGAGAGAGGACCGACCCCGCACACGGGGAAGGUGAAGCGCAGACAGAGAGAGGACCGACCCCGCACACGGGGAAGGUGAAGCGCAGACAGAGAGAGGACCGACCCCGCACACGGGGAAGGUGAAGCGCAGACAGAGAGAGGACCGACCCCGCACACGGGGAAGGUGAAGCGCAGACAGAGAGAGGACCGACCCCGCACACGGGGAAGGUGAAGCGCAGACAGAGAGAGGACCGACCCCGCACACAGGGAAGGUGAAGCGCAGACAGAGAGAGAG